UACGUAGGGUGCAAGCGUUGUUCGGAAUUACUGGGCGUAAAGCGCGCGCAGGCGGGCUUAUAAGUCGAUUGUGAAAUCCCAGGGCUCAACCCUGGAACUGCAGUCGAAACUGUAAGUCUUGAGUGCCUAAGAGGAUGGCGGAAUUGCCGGUGUAGUAGUGAAAUACGUAGAUAUCGGCAAGAACACCUGAGGCGAAGGCGGCUAUCUGGUGGUGCACUGACGCUGAGGCGCGAAAGCGUGGGGAGCAAACAGG
rnacentral:rRNA from 1 species